rnacentral:rRNA from 1 species
GAUGAACGCUAGCGGCAGGCCUAAUACAUGCAAGUCGGACGGGAUUGGAGAGCUUGCUUUCCAUGAGAGUGGCGCACGGGUGCGUAACACGUAUGUAACCUACCAUUGUCAGGGGGAUAGCCUCUCGAAAGAGAGAUUAACACCGCAUAACAUGAUUGAAUAGCAUUAUUUAAUCAUCAAAUAUUUAUAGGACAAUGAUGGGCAUGCGGGACAUUAGCUAGAUGGUGAGGUAACGGCUCACCAUGGCGACGAUGUCUAGGGGAUCUGAGAGGAU